AUUGAACGCUGGCGGCAGGCUUAACACAUGCAAGUCGAGCGGGGUGAUGGUGCUUGCACUAUCACUUAGCGGCGGACGGGUGAGUAAUGCUUAGGAAUCUGCCUAUUAGUGGGGGACAACAUCUCGAAAGGGAUGCUAAUACCGCAUACGUCCUACGGGAGAAAGCAGGGGAUCACUUGUGACCUUGCGCUAAUAGAUGAGCCUAAGUCGGAUUAGCUAGUUGGUGGGGUAAAGGCCUACCAAGGCGACGAUCUGUAGCGGGUCUGAGAGGAUGAGCCGCCACACUGGGAAUGAGACACGGCCCAGACUCCUACGGGAGGUAGCAGUGGGGAAUAUUGGACAAUGGGGGGAACCCUGAUCCAGCCAUGCCGCGUGUGUGAAGAAGGCCUUAUGGUUGUAAAGCACUUUAAGCGAGGAGGAGGCUCUUUUGGUUAAUACCCAAGAUGAGUGGACGUUACUCGCAGAAUAAGCACCGGCUAACUCUGUGCCAGCCGCCGCCGUAA
rnacentral:rRNA from 1 species